rnacentral:ncRNA from 19 species
CUGAAUAUGAAGUAAUCAGGUGUCGGAGCAGCCGCUUAGGCGGCUGGCUCCGGUGAAAAGGGAAACAGGUGCAAAUCCUGUACGAACUCGUCACCGUAAUUAGGGAGCAGAAGCCGAGAUAUCACUGGGAAACUGGGAAGAUGGCGGAUGCAAUGAUCUUUAAGCCGGGAGACCUGCCUGACUGCUGUACGGAAAC